rnacentral:rRNA from 1 species
CGUGCCAGCAGCCGCGGUAAUACAGAGGCCUCAAGCGUUAUUCGCGAUCACUGGGCGUAAAGGGAGCGUAGGCGGCGUGGUAAGUCAUAUGUGAAAUCCCGGGGCUCAACCCCGGAACUGCAUCCUAUACUGCCAUGCU